rnacentral:rRNA from 1 species
CAGCUCUCCGAGUAGUGUGGACGUUUAUUGGGCCUAAAGCAUCCGUAGCUUGCUAGAUAAGUCCUCUGUUAAAUCCACCGAUUCAAUCGUUGGAUUGCGGGGGAUACUGUUUGGCUAGGGGGCGGGAGAGGUCGACGGUAUUUCCGGGGUAGGGGUGAAAUCCUAUAAUCCCGGGAGGACCACCAGUGGCGAAGGCUGUCGACUAGAACGCGCCCGACGGUGAGGGAUGAAAGCUGGGGGAGCGAACCGGAUUAGAUACCCGAGUAGUCC